GCCAGCAGCCGCGGUAAUACGGAGGGUGCGAGCGUUAAUACGGAAUUACUGGGCGUAAAGCGCAUGCAGGUGGUUUGUUAAGUCAGAUGUGAAAGCCCCGGGGCUUAACCUCGGAAUAGCAUUUGAAACUGGCAGACUAGAGUACUGUAGAGGGGGGUAGAAUUUCAGGUGUAGCGGUGAAAUGCGUAGAGAUCUGAAGGAAUACCGGUGGCGAAGGCGGCCCCCUGGACAGAUACUGACACUCAGAUGCGAAAGCGUGGGGAGCAAACAGGAUUAGAUACCCUGGUAG
rnacentral:rRNA from 1 species